CAGGAGUACUAAAUGCCACACACACAACAAGAUUUUUCACUCAGUAAAUACAUCAAGUGAGAGUCAGGAAACCAUGGGUCUUGCCUGGUAACUUUUAAGGUCUUGUGACUCUCCGCCACAUAAAAUCCCAAAAUGGAAAAGGAUGUAAGCCCAUCACACAAGAGAUAUAUGCAGGGGGUCCUACUAUCAAAAAUAGCACCUGGCGUCCAUAGAGUCCUCACAGACACAUCUGAUCUUUACAGAAGUAAAAGUGUCAGUGGCCUCCCAUUGAAGUCUGAGCUCACCAACCUGAUUGAGAAGACCCUGCAAGAAGUUGAAGCUGGGAAUUCAGAAGAGAGGACAAAACGUGAAGUAGAGGACUGCCAGGUGGAGCUGAAUAAGAAAGGGGAUGAUGACAAAGAGGAAGAUAAGGAUGGAGACUACAGUCAAGAAGAAUAUGGCACUAGAAUAGACACGGCUGAGCAACUGGAAGCAGAGACAGAAGAUUUAAAAGUGGAAGAAGUUCUCCUGGAGGUACAGAAAGACCUGUCUGCUUUUGUGGAAAUUGACCUAAGAGACGAAGCUGAGGAGGCCCCAAAGCAACUGGCUGUGCUGCUUUCCAACCUGGACAAAGCAGAAGAAGAAAAGGAUAAAAAUAGGAUAGCCAUGAAAAGGUAAAUUCAGUGCCUAGGAGGCAUUUGAAAUGCUGGUCGGGGG